GGUUGAGUUAGAUCCACCAUUGAUGGUUGUUUUUGGUUAAUUGGGUGGUGGCAUGCAAGCUGCACGCGUCAAUAGGGAUGGAACCUGUUACUUGUGCAGAGCAAAGAAGUGUUUGAUGUUGGCCAGCUUUGUUUCACUGUUUUAGGGACGUGAGGUUUUCUUCUUCGUUCGUUGGUGGCUGGGAGGGUAGAGCGCAAGUGGGUCGCUCGUCGAUCAGAGGUACUGACGCGUUCUUGGGUGCUAAUGGUGCGAAUUGCUUUCUCUUGAGUUCCCGUGCCUUCUAUU
rnacentral:misc_RNA from 1 species